rnacentral:rRNA from 1 species
UACGUAGGGCGCAAGCGUUGUCCGGAAUUAUUGGGCGUAAAGAGCUCGUAGGCGGCUUGUCACGUCGGGGGUGAAAGCCCGGGGCUUAACCCCGGGUCUGCAUUCGAUACGGGCUAGCUAGAGUGUGGUAGGGGAGAUCGGAAUUCCUGGUGUAGCGGGGAAAUGCGCAGAUAUCAGGAGGAACACCGGUGGCGAAGGCGGAUCUCUGGGCCAUUACUGACGCUGAGGAGCGAAAGCGUGGGGAGCGAACAGG